GACGGGGGCCCGCACAAGCGGCGGAGCAUGCGGAUUAAUUCGAUGCAACGCGAAGAACCUUACCUGGGCUUGACAUGUUCCCGACCGCUCCAGAGAUGGGGCUUCCCUUCGGGGCGGGUUCACAGGUGGUGCAUGGUNGUCGUCAGCUCGUGUCGUGAGAUGUUGGGUUAAGUCCCGCAACGAGCGCAACCCUUAUUGUUAGUUGCCAUCAUUUAGUUGGGCACUCUAGCGAGACUGCCGGUGACAAACCGGAGGAAGGUGGGGAUGACGUCAAAUCAUCAUGCCCCUUAUGACCUGGGCUACACACGUGCUACAAUGGGAAGUACAACGAGUUGCGAAGUCGCGAGGCUAAGCUAAUCUCUUAAAGCUUCUCUCAGUUCGGAUUGUAGGCUGCAACUCGCCUACAUGAAGCCGGAAUCGCUAGUAAUCGCGGAUCAGCACGCCGCGGUGAAUACGUUCCCGGGCCUUGUACACACCGCCCGUCACACCACGAGAGUUUGUAACACCCGAAGUCGGUGAGGUAACCUUUUGGAGCCAGCCGCCUAAGGUGGGAUAGAUGAUUGGGGUGAAGUCGUAACAAGGUAGCCGUAUCGGAAGGUGCGGCUG
rnacentral:rRNA from 1 species